rnacentral:rRNA from 1 species
UGUCCUACGGGGGGCAGCAGUGGGGAAUAUUGCACAAUGGGGGAAACCCUGAUGCAGCGACGCCGCGUGAGUGAAGAAGUAUUUCGGUAUGUAAAGCUCUAUCAGCAGGGAAGAAAAAAGACGGUACCUGACUAAGAAGCCCCGGCUAACUACGUGCCAGCAGCCGCGGUAAUACGUAGGGGGCAAGCGUUAUCCGGAUUUACUGGGUGUAAAGGGAGCGUAGACGGCGCGGCAAGUAUGAAGUGACAGGCAGGGGCUU